rnacentral:rRNA from 1 species
GUAAGUCUGCGAAGGUGUAUCGAGAGGUAUGCUGGAGAUAUCAGAAGUGCGAAUGCUGACGUAAGUAACGAUAAAGGGGGUGAAAAGCCUCCUCGCCGGAAGACCAAGGGUUCCUGUCCAACGUUAAUCGGGGCAGGGUGAGUCGACCCCUAAGGCGAGGCCGAAAGGCGUAGUCGAUGGGAAGCAGGUUAAUAUUCCUGCACGACUUGUAAUUGCGAUGGGGGGACGGAGAAGGCUAGGUGGGCCAGGCGACGGUUGUCCUGGUGAAAGUGCGUAGGUGGUGUUUCUAGGCAAAUCCGGAGACACA